AAACACUAGUUUCUAUUUUAACAGGAAGAACUUCAGGCUCAGAAACUAAACAAAUUCUGUGAUCAUACUGAUAGGAAAUGAAGAAAGUGGGAUUGAGCAGUUUUCUCUGAAUGUCUAAGUUGUCCCUGAUGCCAAUGACCCUCCAUGUAGGAAGCAUGAUGGCGAGAGUAGAAAGAGAGGGAAACAGGUCCCAAGUCACCUGGAAAGGGCAAGAUAACAGGACUCAUCUAGUGAUCCAUCAGCCAAUCAAGAGCUCUCAUCAAGCCUGUCUUCUCCAUGGGAAAGCAACAUUCUGCAAGGACCUGCAGUACUACUUUUUUUUUUUUUUUUUGGCCUUACUUUAGUCAUUGUUAAAAAAAUGAAUUAAUAAAUCUACAUGUGUGUAAAUGACAAUCAAUAUUGUUCAACAGGAGGAUUUGUAAAAUUAAGAUCUACACAAAAGUAAAAUAAUGUUUAUAAAUUUGACACAGAGUGAUUGUACAAGAUUUCAUUGAGUGAAGUUACAUACACAUUAUAUCUCUGCUAUUUCUAUUUUACUUUGAAAUAACAAAGAUUUCCAGCUUCGAAUGAGUUGGUAAACUGUCAUCUACAAAUCAAACUGGAUUUUUAAAAGUCUGUUAAUCACAAAUCCUGAUUGAAAUGUUUCAACACUACACCUCACAAUAAAUAUUUGUUCAAAGAAUGAACUAAGUUAGUCAAACAAUGUUGAAGUUUAUUGAUUUUUUAAAUUGAGUUAUAAUUUAUAAACAAAAUACUCACAUGUGAAAAGUGUCUUUCAACCAGUUUCAACAGUAUC
rnacentral:lncRNA from 1 species